GGUUCCAUAGUGUAAUGGUAAGCACUCUGGAUUUUGAAUCCAGUGAUCUGAGUUCAAAUCUUGGUGGAACCU